rnacentral:misc_RNA from 1 species
AAAAAAAAAAAAAAAACCCAAUUUAUGCCACUGUACCUAUAUAAACAUUUAGGAUGAAUGAAACUAGUCGAAUGAUGGAAAGAAGAAAACAAAGAAACUUUCAGAGAAAAUGUUCACGCCGCAUAAAUGUUCUUGUUCCAUCUACUGCAGAAUUCAUUUUCUGGCAUCAAUAGAAUAAAUCUAAAUCCUUACUUCAGUACAGAACAAUUGUGUUACUAGCAAUAGUGACUCCUAAAAGAAUGGUUUUAAAGGAAAACAUUAUCCCUGCAUUCCUACACCCAAACAAAAGAAUGAAGGAAAGAAGAAUCCCCAAACAAAAGGGGGAGAAAAAAGAAGAAAGCAGGAAGUUCGUUACACUACCCUUGGGGGAGGAAACACAGGAAGUUCUUCAUU